GACGAACGCUGGCGGCGUGCCUAACACAUGCAAGUCGAACGAGGUCCAUGAGAGCUUGCUCUCAGAAGACCUAGUGGCGAACGGGUGAGUAACACGUGAGAAACCUGCCUCGGAGUGGGGAAUAACUCGGGGAAACUCGAGCUAAUACCGCAUAUCUUCACAUGAUCGCAUGGUCGAGUGAAGAAGAAUUUCGCUCUGAGAGGGUCUCGCGGCCUAUCAGCUUGUUGGUGGGGUAACGGCCCACCAAGGCAACGACGGGUAGCUGGUUUGAGAGAACGAUCAGCCACACUGGGACUGAGACACGGCCCAGACUCCUACGGGAGGCAGCAGUGGGGAAUCUUGCGCAAUGGGCGAAAGCCUGACGCAGCAACGCCGCGUGCGGGAUGACGGCCUUCGUGGUUGUAAGCCGCUUUCAGCAGGGACG
rnacentral:rRNA from 1 species